rnacentral:rRNA from 1 species
AUUGAACGCUGGCGGCAGGCCUAACACAUGCAAGUCGAACGAGUGGCGGACGGGUGAGUAAUGUCUGGGAAACUGCCUGAUGGAGGGGGAUAACUACUGGAAACGGUAGCUAAUACAGCAUACCAUCAGAUGUGCCCAGAUUGGAUUAGCUAGUUGGUGGGGUAACGGCUCACCAAGGCGACGAUCACUAGCUGGUCUGAAAGGAUGACAAGCCACACUGGAACUGAGACACGGUCCAGACUCCUACGGGAGGCAGCAGUGGGGAAUAUUGCACAAUGGGCGCAAGCCUGAUGCAGCCAUGCCGAGUGUAUGAAGAAGGCCUUCGGGUUGUAAAGUACUUUCAGCGGGGAGGCGUUACCCGAAGAAGAAGCACCGGCUAACUCCGUGCCAGCCGCCGCGGUAAUUC